GUGACGUCACCCACACAAAGCAAGGCCAUCCCAUCCCACACUGCUGGAGGCAGCUGUUCCCAGCCUUCAGGGAACAAAGCCCAGAGAGGAAUUCCUACAGCAGAGCCUGAAGAUGGCUCAACAGGUGGAGGUGUCCGCUGCAAAGCCUGACGACCCUCAAGACACACAGGCAGAAGGAGAAAACAAGCCCCCUCAAACUGUCCUCUGACCUCCGUGUGAUGUAAAAAUAAAUACAACGCAAUUUCCAAAAAUA